UGUUCAACUGAUCUGAUGAUCUCAACCUUUUUUAUGUUAGUUUUAUCUAUUCAUUUGGUUUAUCUGGAGAGGAUUUGGGCUAGACAGUUAGUAAUAAAGGGAUUAUGGUGAUGAUUUAAUUGGUUUGAUUCAGUAUUUUACUGUAUUGGGCUUUUUGCUAUUAUGUUGACUAAAAUACAAUGCCGCACAAUAAUUAAUUUAAAUGUGCCUGAAAUGUAGGUUUUUGCAUAAACCUUGAUUGAGACUAAGGCAAUAAUUCAAAUGCAAUUCAAACUACAUACAGUAUUUAAUAUUUUCAAAUGGUUACAAUAGCACAUGAUUUAGGUAUUUUUAUCUUUGGGACAAAUUUUGGAUUCAAUUGGCGAUUGUUUUUGGAGGUAUUCACUUUACAUUGUGUUCAAGAUGGUUACUUCCGCCCACUCUGAAGAGUCUCGGCGUCUGAUUGGUCCAAUUUUCAGUUAGGCGCUGCCUGAUUGGCCAGUGGAUGAUGUCGGAUGCUAACAGAGGGCUAAAUCACUAGUUAACUAUUUUCAUCAUGGAAGUUAUACAGCUCACGUAUCACACUUAAUAUUGAAUAUAUAUAUAAAAAGGGUUUUCCAAAAGGACCAUUUAUAAUCGAAAUACAAAACUUCACACACGAUUUUGAGCACAACAGAGCGCUCAGUGAACAUCACUUCCGGGACCUGCAUCACCGGAGGGGGACAUCUAUCUUGGCCACAAACCAUCUUUGACAGUCUUCGGCAGCAUGGUUGAAUCAGGCGCAUCAACACAUGAUAUAGACAUCGUGUCCAAAAGAAGAGCGAGACGUAAUCCUGAGGCUGAAGCCACCGAGUUUAUUUGAUCUGGAUGUGACAAGUCUUGUUUUAAGGCCCAGUGGAUCAAUGAUUGGAAAGACACCAACUGUUGAUGUUCUAUCUCAACAUUCUCCAGAUUCAUGUGAGCGAUAAACCGACUUCAACCCUCCAACAG